UAUGUGAGUGUGUUUGUGCUAUGGGGCAGAUAUGAAGGUCAAGAGGACAACAUUAGACUUGGCUCUCUCCUUUUACUUUGUGGGUACCAGGAAGUAUGCCUAGAAUGUGUGUGUGUGUGUGUGUGUGUGUGUGUGUGUGUCUGUGUAUGUGUGAAUAUGUAUGUGUACAUAUGAGUGUAUGUGUGAGUAUGUAUAUGUGAGUGUGUUUGUGCCAUGGGGCAGAUAUGAAGGUCAAGAGGACAACAUUAGACUUGGCUCUCUCCUUUUACUUUGUGGGUACCAGGAAGUAUGCCUAGAAUUAGAAGAAAGAUCCUAGUCACUGACUUCACAGGCCUGGGACUGCCAUCUAUACUUUUUGGAAGCUUUGGACCAGACUCUGUAGUGUACCUAUGACUGAGAAACACUACUUAAAUGAGAGAAAUAGAGAAAUAGUAAUGACCAUGUGAUUCUGUAAUGACAAAUGUCAUGAAAAGCAAGUGACUAAAUAAAACUCUGGAACUUUACCAGAUUUCCCCAUCUCAAGUACAAGAUUUACACAGAAGGUGAUUAAGAAUCUACACUUAGCGUUUCCAAUGUCUUCCUUCAGACUCAAUGGGAAUUUUUCUGUUGAGAAGUAUGUCAAGCACUUUGUCACACUGAGAAGAAUUCCCUGUCCUUACCACAAAGGACAAUUAUGUCAUGCAUUUGUCAGUGGGAACCGUAUGAAUACAAUAAAUUUAGAUCAGUUUGAUCUGUACUUUUAGUAAUUUAUUUUUUUUUUUUUGGAGGGAAAUUUUAAGUUCCCAGAAAGUUGUAAUUAGUGGUUCAGGGAGUCAUCAUAGAGCGUUUGGGACCCUCCCCUGCCACUUUCCCUCACCAGAAUGCUGUGGAUGCUACAACUCAGGAACCUACAUUGAAACAUCGCUAUCUCCCAGAACUGAGAGAACAGAUUGGGUUUCAUUCCUAGAGGACAUAUUCUGGGUGUAGGGAAGGCAUAAUCACAUUGAUAUGUAUUUAUAAAAUAGAGGAAGCCACAUGAUUUUCAAUCUGAUGUUUGUUAUCAUAAAAUGCUGGUAUCUUAAUAGUCAUCUUUGGAUAUUAUGGGGAUGCCUGAGUAGCUGUACUACAGGCAAGGUCAGUCUCCAAGACUGCAGAUCUGGGUCACCCAGAAUUUGUACAAUGGGGAAAGCUGGUUGGGCAGGCUGAGACAGAAACCACAAAGACAUGCAGUCCUUAGUUGAGGAAAGAGAAAAAAAGUGUGGUGUGACAUUUACUAUAAAAUCUAUCAGAGGACUAGGUGGUUCAAAAUUAAUCAAGGCAGAGAGUUUAUGUCAAUGUUGAGUGUGUUGUAUGUAUGUGCAGGGGAGGAGGGAACAUGUAUGUUUGCCUGCCCACACAAUUGAUAACAGACUCAGAGCAUGAUCCACUGCUGAGUCACUAAUAAAUCUAAAUGUUAACUCUUGUAUUCUAUUUGCCUGUCAGAGACAGACAGGCUUCAAUUGGCUUAACAGCAUGCUAGCAACUCCUAGCCAGAGAAAUCUAAUUACAUUUUGAGCACUGUUAAACUGCCUUAUCGCCAUGCUUUAGGUUCAUCCCAUGUGAAAAACACUAGAUCAAGACCCUCUUCACCAUGAGGGCUUUCCGUGAGGAUUAAAUCCUGAAAAUGAUUGUGGGACACUUUGAAAGUUCAAAUUGCUAUGAAAAAAAAUUUAAUUAUUUUUCAUGCUGUCUAUUGACAUUUGUACAAAAAAUACAGUAUUUCUCAUUAUAGAAUUAUAAAUGGAAUUUAACCUUUAAUUUAAUAUUUAUCAUUACAAUUCCCAAUAUUCAGGUACCCUUCUUUUUCUAACUGAAUAAUGGGGUUGGUUAUCAUCAUACAAUAUUGAAUGAUGUUUCUGUUAUAUAAGCUUUCAAUUAUUCAUGUUAAUGGAAAACUUUAAUGCAUAGCAUCUAAUAUGACAGCCUGUCAGAAAAUGAUCUCAAGAAAAAGGAAGGGCCAGAGACCUGAAGCCUCUAGUCUGAAUAAAUUUGUUGAAGUAGCUUUGUCAAGUGGUUGUCUUAAAGGUUGUGAGAACAAGAAGAAUCCAGUUGAACUAUACAAUUAAGAGGAAUUGGGAAUCCUGAGGAGGCAUCUCACAAUUCCAAAAGGUAUUCAAAAUUCCAGUUCAGUUGGGUGUCUUGCUUGGUGGAAGAAAGUACACUAUCUAGAGAAUAAAUAGAGGCAUGUACAGAAGAAGAAGAUGAAGAAGAAGAAGAAGAAAAGAAGAAGAAGAAGAAGAAGAAGAAGAAGAAG
rnacentral:lncRNA from 1 species